GGCUCUCCUGGAGCAAGAUGGCGGCGCGCAGGUGCUGGCCGUACGCCCGUCGGAGGUUUCCGGCCUCCCCUGCUAGGGGGUUUGCUCAACCGUUCCGCCCUUCCGGGUGUGUGUGGGGUGGCUGCAGUUUCAGUCCCGCAUUUUGGGCUCGCUGCAGAACUUGUAGUCAGCCAAAACCUGAUGUAAACUCUCGGGUCCGUCGCCAAUCGAAAGAGAGCAUUGGUAUUGGCCGCGGUUUGCGCUGGCCCGGCGCCAGCCGUUGCGCACGCGCUCUCCGCGCUCCUCGCUGGAACUCCCCGAGGGCGUACUCGCGAGGGUUUGAGAUGUACUCGCAAGGUGUGGGCGCCCUCCUCCAGCAAAGGAAGCAGACGUGAGGUUCGGGGACUUUAUGAAGUCAGUCAGCGGGAAGGCCAGCCAGUAGUGUGAUGAAGGCAGCUGGCUCCCACCAGACAGACUGUGGCUUGGAAAACACACUGGACCCGUGUGACUGCGUGCUCAAAGUCCCGAGAGCAGAAUGGAGGGAGUGCGCGUGGCCACCCCACCAGGGUGUGCUUUUUCACUUAGCUCUCAGGGAAAGAUAAUUCAGAACCGUGACCCAGAGGAGAGGAAACGACAGCCUGCACGGACGUCCUGCACAACUGCUAGCUCUCGCUCCGUCCUGUGCCACAGCAGUGGCUUUCCAUCGGGGGACUCUGUCCCCAGGGCACAUUGGACAACAUCUGGAGACAUCUCUGGCAGCAGCGACUGUGGAGAAGUAGGUACUCCGUUGAGUGGGCAGGGCCCAAGGACAUGCUCAGCUGCCCCCACCUACCUGGCCCAGGCCCAGAGCGCCAGCACAGACAGUAGCAGGGCACUGCGGCCCAAUCCUGGAGCCACCAAGGAGGCCUCCAGGCUUGCUUUCGGGAACACUGUUGUCCUGGCUGGCUGCAGGGCUUGGGGCAGGACUGUGGCAUGAAAUUCCAUCGAGGGUGCCUGUCUCUGUCUCUCUUUUUAAUUUGCCAGAAGUGCACAUGGUCACUGGAGACAAAGAGAAAGUGGGAACGCACCCCUCGUGGGGAAUGGUCACACUGCAAUCCCUCCACGUCUCCCUCUUGGGAGUCUGGGCUCGCACGUCCAGAGGUUUUCUCAAACUGCAGUGUCCGGGACUUGAACUGUGGGGCUGGCCAAGUGGGAUCCAGAGGCCUUAACCACCAUGGCUCAGGCUGGGCCCUCUCUCGAUAUGAACAAAAACUGAGACGUAAAAAGAUCUAGCUCACAUUGUCGAUAGUGCCUGCUUUAAAAUUCUGCUGUGUAGGAACUACUCGGAAUCCCUACCUUUCUAACACCAAAUUUCAUGACGGUAACCAGUUCACGUGACACAUGUCUUUUCCGACAAAGUGGAGGCAGUUUGUGGUUAUAAACUGGAACAGACAGGCCCAUCUCCGUUCU